rnacentral:misc_RNA from 1 species
AAAACCCUUAAAAUUCAUAUGACUUGUAUUUAUCAUAUGAAGCUCUAAUACUUCACCUAUUCAGUACAAGUGGUACAACCAUCAAACACUUAGCUUUGGCCGAAAAUCAGAAUUCACAAGUAAUUUUGUAAAUUCAUCAGUGCAAGCCAUCCGAAUACGCUCUGGAGUGGCUGGAUUAUCAAGAGGGAACCAGUCGUUGUAACCAGCUUCCAUCCGUGCAGAUUUUAUGGCGUUCUUGAUGGCGAAAAAGACAGCAGAGGCAAGAAAGAAAGGUGGUUCCCCAACUGCUUUAGAUGAAUGGAUAGCCUUGGUGUUUGGAGCAUUUUUCAGAAGAGAGACAUUAAAUUUGAACGGCAUAUCAUUCAAAGACGGAAGCUUGUAAUUUCCAGGUCCACAUGUGAGUAAGCACCCAGGUGGAAUCCACUUGUGUGCUUUAUCACCCCACUUCAGCUCUUCCAGUGCUACCCAUCCAAGACCCUGUAGAAAUGCUCCUUCUAUCUGUCCAACAUCAAUCGCUGGGUUGAGGGAGAAUCCAAGGUCUAGGAUAACGUCUGCUCUCCUAGUAUGGAAAUCGCCUGUCAAUGUGUCAAUUUCAACUUCGGAAAAUGCAGCACCAUAGGUGAAGUACCUAAAUGGACUGCCUUUUCCAGAUUUCCAGUCAAAGUCAAUAUCAGGUGUGAUGUAGAACCCAUGAGCAGAAAGGUCUAUUCUCUCGAAGUAGCACGCACUGACAAGCUCCUCAAAAGAGCUGAAGUUAGACUUGGAUGCAAUAGGCUCCAUCCGGGCUUUUAUUUGCUCACAUGCAUCCAAUACUGCAGCUCCAUACAUGUCAGAACUUGCAGAAGCAGCUGUUGGUGAAGCAUUAGGUACCUUGUCGGUACUUGUGUCUGAAAUGAAUACUGCACUUAGAGGGAUGUUAAAGGAAGAUGCAGCAAUCUGAGCAACUUUCGUGUGUAAACCUUGGCCCAUCUCCACACCCCCAUGAGUGACCAACACUGUUCCAUCUGUGUAAACUUGAACAAGAGCACCUGCCUGGUUCAUAGACUUAAAAGUGAAAGCUAUUCCAAAUUUGGUUGGCACCAUGGCAAUACCUCGCUUCUUCCAUCGAUUAUGGCGAUUGAAAAUUUCAACUUCAUUUUGAGCAUUAAUGAAGUCACAAGAAGAUUUCAGUUCAUCCCAGAGACGCCCCAAGGUACAGUCUUCAACUUUUUGACCAUAAUGCAAGACUGACCCUUCACUGAUGAAAUUCAUUUCCUUUAUUUCUUCUGGGCUUUUGUUAACUUCCACCGCAAUCCUCUCUAUCCAAUUCUCAGCAAUUAGCAUACCCUGUGGGCCUCCAAAUCCUCUAAAAGCUGUAUUACUAGGAAAAUUAGUGAAACAUGCUUUUCCAUUAACCCUCACAUUUGGUAUUUCAUAGACAUUGUGCGAAUGGAACAUAGAACGUUCGAGUACAGCGGUUGAUAGGUCUAACGAAUUUCCAGCAUUAUUGUAGAUAUGAAGAUCCAAGGCAAGCACUUUCCCAGCAUUUGUAAAGCCAACCUUGUACUUCCCAAGAAAGCUAUGUCGCUGCCCCAUUAUCAUCAUGUCUAUAUCCCUAUCAAGAAUAAUUUUCACUGGACGAUCCAACAGGUAUGAUGGAACAGCCACAGCAGCAGCAAGCAUAGCAGACCUAGUCUCCUUGCCUCCAAAUCCCCCACCUAUCCUUUUGGUCUUGCAAACCACUUUUGACAUCGGAAGACCAAGAACAUGAGAGACAUACUUCUGGUGCUUCUGCGGAGCCUGGGUAGAUGAGAUCAUGUGCACCUCAUUCCCACUAUCCACUGUCCAUAAAAAAGUGCCAUGAGGCUCCAAAUAGAAAUGUUCUUGACCACCUACCCUAACUUCUCCUUCUAUAAUACUGUCACAUUGACCUGACCGGAAACACUGUUCAACAUCACCCUUUGUCAUACACCUUUCCGUAUUAGGAUGAUAACUGUUGGCCUGUAUAGCAUCCUCUAUCGAUAGCACUGCAGGUAACUCCUCAUACUCAACAUGAACCUUUCUAGCAGCAAGUUUUGCAUUUUCAUGUGUGUCAGCUACAACCACUCCGAUAACCUGACCCACAGAAGUAACAAACUCUGAGGCAAAAAGUUCUUCAUCGUGAACAACUGGUCCAAUCAUAUUAUUACCAGGUACAUCUUUAGCCAAAAAGAUACCUGCAAAUCCAGGAGAGGACCUGGCUCCCGAAUCAUCUAUUGAAAGUAUACGAGCAUGAGGUUUUUUACUCAAUAUCAGAGCAGCAUGCAAACUAUUGGGUGGCAUUGGCGCAUCAUCUGUAUAUUCGGCCUCUCCAGAAACCUGAAGCCUUGAUGAAAUAUGAACUUCAGGGGAACCCACAGAAGUACCAUGCCUCCUGAUCUCAAAAUCCUGAAUUGAACUAACGGAUGGUCGAAGAGAUGAAUCUACAGCUGAAAUAUGCGAAGCUGGAACUUUCUCAAGAAAUAAUGUCUGUCCAUCCAUUUGAUGGCAAACCCACAAGAAAAAUUUGAAGA